CACUAGGCCCUUUUCAGAGCCACAAUUAAAUAAAUUAAUAAAAAA
rfam:Operophtera brumata OBRT01_Sc08866, whole genome shotgun sequence.